rnacentral:rRNA from 1 species
CGGUGGAGCAUGUGGUUUAAUUCGACGAUACGCGAAGAACCUUACCUGGCCUUGACAUACUAAAAAGCUUUAAGAGAUUAGAGUGUGCUAGCUUGCUAGAAUUUAGAUACAGGUGCUGCACGGCUGUCGUCAGCUCGUGUCGUGAGAUGUUGGGUUAAGUCCCGCAACGAGCGCAACCCUCGUGUUUAGUUGCUAACAGUUCGGCUGAGAACUCUAAACAGACUGCCUACGCAAGUAGGAGGAAGGUGAGGACGACGUCAAGUCAUCAUGGCCCUUACGGCCAGGGCUACACACGUGCUACAAUGGGGUAUACAAAGAGCAGCGAUACGGUGACGUGGAGCAAAUCUAGAAAAUGCCUCUCAGUUCGGAUUGUAGUCUGCAACUCGACUACAUGAAGUUGGAAUCGCUAGUAAUCGUAGAUCAGCAAUGCUACGGUGAAUACGUUCCCGGGUCUU